AUUGCAAGGCUCCUUCAAGAGGAGGCAGGAGGAUCGAAGAAGAAGACAGAGAUGUGAUGAUGGAAGCGGAGGUUGGAGUGACGUGCGUUAAAGAUGGAGGAGGGGCUGCAAGCCAAGUCGUGCAGGCGGCCUCUAGAAGCUGGGAAAGGCAAGGAGACAGCUUCUUGCUUGGAGACCCCGGGAGAAGCGCAGCCCUGCCAACACCUUGAUUUUACACUUCUGGCCUCCGGAACCCUCCAUCCCCACCUGAUCAGCAGCCGGACCAGGGAACAAGGCUCCCUCCUCACUGCGUCAAGGGUGUUUCUGGAGGGAGACGGCAGCAUGGCUGAGCAGUCAAAGGAACCCCACCCCCAAAAUUUUCGGUUGCCUGGACUCUCUGGGGGAAGGGCUGCAGGACUGGCAUCCACAGACCUGGGUUCAAAUCCCGCAUCUGAGGACGGCCCGCCUUGUGACCUUGGGAACGGAUUGCAAUCUUGCCAGCCUGUCCUCUCACCUGCGCGAUAGGCAUGAUAGGUACUGAGCGUCUACCGGGUGACAAGCACAGUUCUAGGUGCUGAGGAUACAGACAGCAGAGAAGAAAACAAAGAUGCCUGUCCACCUGGAGCUGACAUUUCAGUGAGAGAGAGACUCCGAAUCUCAGUGCAACAUUCAGCGUUCCGGCCUCGUUAAUUCACGUAAGACACCCCAUUUGGAGAAGUAUCAUUAAAGGCUAAUUUGGUGAGAUAUCCUUUUUUAGCAAAGCAAAUAGAAGCUGACAGUCAGCUCUCGGGUGCUAUCAUGGGGUGACGAUUCAGCAAAAGGCAAACAAUUUAUUUCACAACGUGACAAUCGCCCCUCGCCACGCUGGAAUUGUGGACUCCUGAAAAUUGUGCUGUUUCAUCGUGACCCAUAACAAAGAGAGAGAAUUCUGGAAGUCAAGAACUGUUUUUGCCAAGGAUUCGGGAGCACCAAUGUCAUCUGUGGGUACAUGUGCCAUGUCUUUUAAACACUGAAUCUUAUAUCAAGGGCUCUGUGUUCACAAGUUUCGCAGGUACAGCUGGCUU
rnacentral:lncRNA from 1 species